UACGUAGGGUGCGAGCGUUAAUCGGAAUUACUGGGCGUAAAGCGUGCGCAGGCGGUUCGUUAUGUCCGAUGUGAAAGCCCCGAGCUCAACUUGGGUAUGGCAUUGGAAACUGGCGGGCUGGAGUGUGGCAGAGGGGGGUGGAAUUCCACGUGUAGCAGUGAAAUGCGUAGAGAUGUGGAGGAACACCGAUGGCGAAGGCAGCCCCCUGGGCCAACACUGACGCUCAGGCACGAAAGCGUGGGGAGCAAACAGG
rnacentral:rRNA from 1 species